AUGGAACCACCGACACGAGAACAAGUUGAGACUAUGACCACUGUAUUUGAAGUGUGGAAAGCUUUGGAGAAGCAAUUUUCAGGAAAAUCAAAUAAGAUGCAGGCUACUCGCAUCAUGCAGGAGUUGACUAACUUGAAGCAAGGCUCAAAAUCAAUGACUGAGUAUGCAGGUGAGAUGAAGAGAUUGUAUAGGGAGUUGCAUUAUUACCGUCCUUUUCAACCCGUUGACAAGAAUGAUGUGGCUGUUCACCAUACCUGGUUUGAACCAUUUGUGGGCAAGCUCUUCUUUGAUGGGCUCAAUCAGGAGUUUGAUCUCCGCCGCCAGCUAAUAUUCUCCAAAACUGAAUGGCUAAGCCUUGAUGAUAUCAUUUCCAGUGUGAUUGAGGAGGAGACUCGUCUUGCUCAACCCAAUGAGCAUGUUCAAGAAAAAUCAGAUGCGCGUGCAGCCCUAUCCAUACAAGCUCGUUGUGCUCCUAAGACCUUUGCUAAAACAGAUAAAAGCAAACUUUUUUGCAACCAUUGCAAAAGGCCUGGACACACAAAGGAUUCAUGCUUUGAGCUGCAUGGUUAUCCAACUUGGUGGGAAAAAGGAAAGUCUCAGCCAGGGGGAGGUCAGGGAGCUCAUAAAAGAUAG
rnacentral:rRNA from 1 species